CGACACGACACCACCUGAAAGACACAACACGACUUCUCUCAAGCUGCCGUUUUGACAGUUUUCAGGAGUGAGAGAAUAACCCCCUGCUACAGAAAACAUAACACAAGAUUCCUAAAUUUCUGAAGGGAGCUGAUCACAGAGAUGCAGAAAAGACAGGAGGUCAAAGUUUAACCUAAGUGCCGUGUAGCUGAUGAACAUCUUUUUAUGUAAGUAUAUUUUUGACGGACUGCCAGACACUUGUCAAACAGUGAUGAGCAAACGAGGGGCCGUUCUUUUAAAAAGAUCAGGGAGAUGCAAGUCUAGAGAUUAAUAUACGUUUUAAUUCAAAAUUGAUUUAUCUGGAAAAAUUUAAUAAUGUUUUGAGAUGUGCCCUAUAUGCAUUUAGAUGUCCAUCCAUGUUUAAAAUACUUUUAAAUUUAACAACGGCUAUAAGUUAUAAAAAUGUUUAAGUAAAUUGAGAAAACAUUUUCAUCAGUUUGACAACAUACACAAUCUCACAAAUAGCAUAGAAAAAGUGACAAAGCUGUCUUCUUUGUCUGUGUUUUAUUACUCUCUUUCGCACUCUCGGCCACUGUAUGUAACAGUAAUUAGUAUAAUGUAACAGUAGACAGAUGAGGAAUGUGAAUAUGUAGUUUAACUUUAAGGAGCGUUACUACUGGAACCAUUUUUUAUAUAUAUUAUAUUUUUAUAUACAUUUUAUAUAUAUAUAUGUGUGUAUAUAUAUGUAUAUGUGUGGGUAUUGAUUUCCCUUUUAAAAAAAAUUAAGCAAAAAAUUAAUUAUAAGGUAGAUCAGCUCCUGACAGACAUGUUAACAAAUCAGUUUAACUCCUAUUAAAUUUAUUCAUUCAUUUUCUUUUCUGCUUAGUCCCUUUUUUAAUCUGGGGUAACCACAACGGAAUGAACUGU